AUGUGGUUAAUUCGAAGCAACGCGAAGAACCUUACCAGGUCUUGACAUCCCGAUGCUAUUUCUAGAGAUAGAAAGUUACUUCGGUACAUCGGUGACAGGUGGUGCAUGGUUGUCGUCAGCUCGUGUCGUGAGAUGUUGGGUUAAGUCCCGCAACGAGCGCAACCCCUAUUGUUAGUUGCCAUCAUUCAGUUGGGCACUCUAGCGAGACUGCCGGUAAUAAACCGGAGGAAGGUGGGGAUGACGUCAAAUCAUCAUGCCCCUUAUGACCUGGGCUACACACGUGCUACAAUGGUUGGUACAACGAGUUGCGAGUCGGUGACGGCGAGCUAAUCUCUUAAAGCCAAUCUCAGUUCGGAUUGUAGGCUGCAACUCGCCUACAUGAAGUCGGAAUCGCUAGUAAUCGCGGAUCAGUACGCCGCGGUGAAUACGUUCCCGGGCCUU
rnacentral:rRNA from 1 species